GGGUAGGUAAAGGAAAAUUACAGUCAAAGGGGGUUUGUUCUCUGGCGGGCAGGAGUGGGGGGUCGCAAGGUGCUCAGUGGGGGUGCUUUUUGAGCCAGGAUGAGCCAGGUAAAGGACUUUCACAAGGUAACCUCAUCACUUAAAGCAAGGACCGGCCAUUUACACUUCUUUUGUGGUGGAAUGUCAUCAGUUAAGGCGGGGCAGGGCAUAUUAAUAAGAAAAAUAAAACAAAAUGGUGUUGAAGUGUUGGGGCGGCGAAAAUUUUUGGAGGGUGACAUGGAGAGAGAAUGGGCGAUGUUUCUCAGGGCUGCUUCAAGCGGGAUUAGGGGUGGCGUGGGAACCUAGAGUGGGAGAGAUUAAGCUGAAGGGAGGUCUUGUGGUAAGGGGUGAUAUUGUGGGGAUGUUAGAAGAAACAUUUGUCGUAUAGAAUGAUUGGUGAUGGCCUGGAUACGGUUUUGGAUGAAUUGAGAAACGAAAUGGAAUAAGAGAAGGAGAAAAAUAGGUAUAAAAGGUUUAAGAAUUGGGACGACUCAGGAUAUCUGAUUAGAGAGUGCCUCAGGAGAUUCAGCAUAGUCCUGCCAGCAAAGAUUAGGGCAUGUAUGAGUAGUUGAGAACGAUGAAUAGGAGUAUGACUAGACAAAAGAUAGUAGGGAUGACAAGUUUUUUUGGGGGCACAGUCUAAGUUGCUCUGGUGUCGAAUGAGACUGGGGCCUAAUAAAAAGGAGCGUCUAUACAGGAGCUUAAAUGGGCUCCUGUACACCUUGUAGCAUUCUGAGGACAGGCCUGAAUUCUGAGAAGCAAAAGUGGUAAAAGUAUUGUCCAGUCCUUUUUAAGUUGGUGGCUGAGCUUGGUGAGGUGUGUUUUUAAAAGACCUUUAGUCCACUCUACUUUUCUUGAAGGCGGAGGACCAUAAGGGAUAUAAAGGUUUCACUGAAUACUAAGAGCCUGAAAAACUGUCAGACCCUGUAGGAAAGGCCUUUACUUAUUCAGUGAAAGUGUCUAUUUAGACUAACAGGUAUUUUAGUUUCCUGACUCGGGCAUGUUGAUUAAAACUAAUUUGCCAGUCCUGGGUGGGGGCAAAUCCUUGAGCUUGAUGUGUAGGGAAGGGAGGGGGCCUGAAUAAUCCCUGGGUGUGUGGCGAUUAGGCCUGGUGGAACCUCCAUCAAUAAAUCAAGCGUGAUCAGGGUGAGGAACAGGAAAGAAGGAAAUCUGGGGAAAUGGGAUGAAUGUCAGGUGGAUCAGACAGAUACAGUCAUGGGGGUCAGGUGUGGUAUCAGGAAUAAUGUGGGAGGCUGGAUUGAAGUCUGGGCCAGGAACAAUGGUAAUUGUGGGAGACUCAACAAAGAGUGAGUACAGCUGAAGGAGCCAGGAAGCAGAAAGUAUAUGCGUCAGGUAUGAGGAAGAAAAUAGAUUUUGGAAGUUAUGAGAAAUGUAGCGAGUGAGUUGAGCAUAGUUUGUGAUUUUUAGGGCCUCUAACAGUAUUAAAGCAGUGGCAGCCGCUGCAGGCAGACAUGAGGGCUAGGCUAAAACAGUAAGGUCAAGUUGUUUGGACAGAAAGGCUACAGGGUGUGGUCCUGGCUCUUGUGUAAGAGUUCUGACCACACUAACCAUGUUUAGGAAGGAAAGGAGUUGUUGUUUUGUAGAAGGUGCUGGGGUUUGAGAGAUCAGUCGGACACUAUUGGCAGGGAGAGCACGUGUGUUUUUAUGAGAAUUAUGCCGAGAUAGGUAACAGAUGAGGAAGAAAUUUGGGCUUGAUGGAAGUAAUGGGGGCUGUCUGUGAAGCUUUGCAGCAGUACAGCCUAGGUAAUUUGCUGAGCUUGAUGGGUGUCAGGGUCAGUCCAAGUGAAAGUGGAGAGAGGCUGGGAUGAAGGGUGCAAAGGAAUAGUAAAGAAAGCAUGUUUGACAUCUAGAACAGAAUAAUGGGUUAUAGAGGCAGGUAUUGAGGAUAGGAGAGGAUAUGGGUUUGGCACCAUAGGGUGGAUAGGCAAAACAAUUUGGUUGAUAAGGCACAGAUCCGGAACUAACUUGUAAGGCUUGUCUGGUUUUAGGACAGGUAAAAUGGGAGAAUUGUAAGGAGAGUUUAUAGGCUUUAAAAGGCCAUGCUGUAGCAGGAGAGUGAUAACAGGCUUUAAUCUUUUUAAAGCGUGCUGUGGGAUCAGCCUAAUAAGGGAACUGGGCAGGUGGGGAUAACUAAAAAGGAGUGCUUAAAAGAGUAUUUUCUGAGUUGGCACUAGAGUUGGGGAGUUUUAAGAGGUUUAGAAGCCUGGCCGUCAAUACCCACAACAGUUAUGGAGGCAAGGGAAACAGGCCCUUGAAAAGAAGGUAAUGUGGAGUGGGUAGCCUCCAUAUUGAUUAAGAAGGGGACGGGCUUACCUUUCACUGUGAGAGUUACCCAAAGCUCGGCGUUCGUGAUGGUCUAGGGGGCUUCCGAGGCGAUCGGGCAGUGUCAGUCUUCAGCGCCAGAUUUCCGGCACGUGUAGCAAGCUCCUGUGGGAGGAGGUUCUGGAGGAACACCUGGCCGCUGCGGUUCAGGCGUUUGGAAGUUCUCGUGUGCUGGAGAUGUGGCUGGGGUUUGUCUCACAGUGAAGGUAAGGAAUUGCAACUUUUUUCUAUUAUUCUACACCUUGAAGGCGAGGUUAAUUAAAUCCUGUUGUGGGGUUUGAGGGCUGGAAUUUAAUUUUUGGAGUUUUAUUUAAUGUCGGGAGCAGAUUGGGUAAUAAAAUGUAUUUUAAGAAUAAGACGGCCUUUUGACGUUUUAGGGUCUAGGGCUGUAAAGUGUCUCAGGGUUGCUACCAAACAAGUUAUGAACUGGGCUGGAUUUUUAUAUUUGAUGAAAAAGAACCUAAACGCUUCUGAUUUGGGAUAAAGAAAAAGGAGCAUUAACCUUGACUAUGCCUUUGGCGCCAGCCACCGUUUUAAAAGUAAAUUGCUGGGCAGGUGGGGGAGGGCUAGUCACGGGCCGAAACUGUAAGCCGGACCAGGUGUGAGGGGAGGUGAUACAAAGAUUAUAGGGUGGAGGAGCGGAGGCUGAGGAAGAAUUGGGACCCAGCUCGGCCUGGCGAGGAGCAGCCUGGGGAGGAAGGGAGAGGUCAGAUGGGUCUGUAGAAAAGGAAGAUUAGAAAGCCUCAGCGACGCUUGGAGUUGGUACUGAGGGGACAGGCGGGAGGGAAAGAAGGAAGAUUUGGGACGAGUUGCACUGGGCACAGAGACUAGGAAGGGACUGAUGUGUAAAAGAAUGCUUGGAUGUCAGGCACCUCAGACCGUUUGCCUAUUUUACAAGAAUUAUUUAGAUUUUGCAGGAUGGAAAAAUUCAAAGUGCCAUUUUCUGGCUAUUUGGAACUACUGUCGAGUUUGUAUUGGGGUCAAGUGGCAUUGCAGAAGAAAAGGCAUUUAGGUUUUAGGUCAGGUGUGAGUUGAAGAGGUUUUAAGUUUUUGAAAACACAGGCUAAGGAAGAAGGAGGAAUGGAAGGUGGAAGCUUACCCAUAGCGAAGGAGGCAAGUCCAGAGAAAAGAGUAGAGACACGGAGAAGGGGUGGAGGGUUCCUGCCCUCCAGAAAAGCAGAGAAGGGGUUGGGGCACGGAAAUAAGGGAUUGGGGCACAGAGAUAAGAGGUCAGGGUACAGAAAUAAGGGAUUGGGGCACAGAGAUAAGAGGUUGGGGUGCAGAAAUAAACGACUGGGGGUUCUUGCCUCCUAGGAAAGCGGGACUUGCCACUAAGGGUGAAGGAGAAGGGGUUGAGGGGUACUUGCCCCUGCCCCAGGAAAGCGGGACUUGCCGCUAAGGGUGAAGGACCAAGGCAGGCGUCCCUGCGUGGUCUGACAUCUUUGAAAUGUGGGUGAAUAAUCAGAGAAGUGUCCCAGCAAUGAUUAAACACCAAGGGAAGGCUGCCUUCCCAGUCCAUGACCGGCGCCGGAGUUUUGGGUCCACGGAUAAAACGUGUCUCCUUUGUCUCUCCAAGAAAAUGAAAGGAAUUGAAAUUAAGAGAAGGGAGAGAUUGAAGAGUGGAAAGGAGAAAGUGGUUGAGGGACAGUGAGAGAGGUUGGAGAAGAGAGUAAGAAGAGGCCGCUUACCUGAUUACCAAAUUUCAUGCGCGUCUGUGUGAAGAGACCACCAAACAGGCUUUGUGUGAGCAACAUGGCUGUUUAUUUCACCUGGGUGCAGGCGGGC
rnacentral:lncRNA from 1 species